GAGAGUGAUGGGACUGCGAGAAUUAUUGAUGCCUUGAAAAAGCCGUCCAACUGGGAAUGGAACAGUCAUCGCUGUCAAUGAGAUAAGUGUCUGUUUUGGUGAUUGCUCUGCUCACGGCCCACCUUGCUCCUGAAAGGGAUGCCCCGUUUGCUGAGGCUGUGUUUGUAAGAAAAGGUUCCUGACUAGUUGUGGUUUUGAGAGAGAGAGAAGAUUCCCAUUUUUAGGGGCUGCUCAGUUUUCUGGCCAGGAGCAGUGUGUCCUACGCAGCAAAAGGUUGCAUCUAGGAGAAUGAGUCCAGGUGGUGAAUUGCUUGCCUUUCUCUCGUGUUUCUCUCUCGUGUGUGUUGGCCAACACUCUUUCUAAAUCUGUCCUUGCCUUUCCUUGUGCUGUCUCCCUUCUUAGGAUAUCGGCAGGCGAGCUAGGUGUGCACCCCCACGGGUUGUGUCUUGGGAGCCAUAAAGAAGUAGGAGGGGACGAAAAUCAUGCGGGGCAGUCGGUGUGAGACUGCAGCGAUGACUGUUGGUGUUGUGGGGCUAAGACAGAUCGAAAGCGACGCAGGGAAGAGGGCCUUAAUUGGGCUCUAUGUAGUGCGGGAGUUCUCAAACUGGGGUUUAGGUCCCGUCAGGGGGCCGCAAGGUUGUUAUCUGGGGGGUUGUGAAAUGUCAUCCUCCAUCCUAAACAUCACUUUGCUUCCAGCAUUUAUAAUGGUGUUGAAUAUACAAAAAGUGUUUUUAAUUUAUAAGGGGAGGGUCACACUCAGAAGCUUUCUAUGUAAAAGGGAUCAUCAGUACAAAAGGUUGAGAACCACUGGUGUAGUGAUAGUUCUUGCUUGCCUUCAUUAAUUUGCAGAGGAAUUGUCCAGGAGUCUCAGCUGGAGAAGAAGCUGGCAGAAGUGGACCUGAACUGCCUAGACAUCCUUCUAAGGAGACAUGAACAGUCCUCAGCUUUCUGCAUUCUGGAUAACUGGCUAUGAGUAAGAAUACCAAGGAAAAAUAAGUCACAUGUCAAUCUACUGCCCUCAUGCAAUGGAAAGUGAGUGAGAGCAGCGAGCCUGUGAGCAUUGUUCAUGCCAGGCAAGAGCCGUUCAUUUGGGAGCCAAGCAGAUGCCACUGUCAGUGAGAUAAGUGUCUGUUUUGCUGAGGGUUCUGUUAACAGCCCAUCUGACUCCAGGUACAGACACCCUGUUAGCUGGGGCUGGUUUGUCAGAAGAGUUUCCUGACUAGCUGGGGAUACAAGGGAGACAAGGUCCCCAUUUUCAGGGGCUUGUCAUUUCUCUGUUCACAAGCAGUGUGUCCUCCGCAGGAGAAGGUUGGAUCCAGGAGGAUGACUCCAGAUGUUUGCAGAGGAAUCGUCCAGGAGCCCUCGCCAGAGGAGAAUAUGCAGAAGUGGAUCUGAGAAGCCUGGACAUCCUUCUAAGGAGACAUGAAUAGUCCUCGGGUUUCUGCAUAACUGGCUGUUCCUCAUCUGUACUUGCUGUAGUUGUCUUCACAGGCCUUGUGCUUCCUCCUUGGGUACGGGGCUCUGUGGCUGGGGAGGGCCCAGAAUCUGCUCUGCAGAGUGACUAUGUUGGGUGCCAUUAAGAGGGCCAAUGUAGACAGGAGAAAAGGGGCCUGAACCCUGAUUACAGGGCGGUCACCCUUUCUUCAGUAAAAUAUGCCUCCUUUAAACUCGGUGUGUGCGGGGCAGGGGGUGGGGGAAGUCCCCAAUGUGAAAAGAUCUGGAAAUGAACAGGUAAGGGAGGGAUCCUGCUGAGUGUCUCCUUUCCGAUCAUCCUCCAUCUCUCAGCGACACCCUUCCGGACUUACCUUCCUACCUCACCAAGAAAAUAACUUUGUGCUCCCUAAACUUUACCAGAAAAGACCCCUCUUCCUUGUGACGCAGUCCUGUUAGUAGGGUUAGGUGCACCCAUGUGCUGGCUCUGAAUACCAUCGCAUGUGCUUACAACACCUGAACAUUAACACAUUUCAGAAACGAUAGCCACAUCAAUCCCUUCGGACGUAGCCCUAGGAAUCUCCUCUAUCUCCAAAGAGACACAAGGCCUGGAAUUUGGACACAACUGAGGGAGCUGUCCGAAUCUCUACAGUUGAACACUCAUCAGUGCAACGGUGUCUUUCUUGUGCACAAGAAAACAAAGGGUCAAAGUUGUGGUUGGUUGAGCGGUGUAAAUUGGGCAGGGCAAAAGGACUUGAGGAAGGAUGAGGUGGAAGUGAGGGUCUGAAAGGAGCCCCCCACCUCACCUGUUCAUUUCCAGACUGUGUGACAUUUGCAUGGUUGGGCCAUUUCUUGGCUUUUUUGAGAAAAGGGGCGAAUUUUCCAUGGCGUCCACCAUCCCCUUACAGCUGCCCCUUCGCCACACCAUGUUGCAUCUGACCUGGAUAGGUCGCAAGUAAGAUUUCACUUCAAAUCUCAAAAAAGUCCAGUAGAAAUAAUUGUGGGGGAAUUUCCUGUCACUAAGAGAAACGGAAGCUCAAGCCUUCUCAAGGGGUGGGGUGUCACUCAGCCACAGGCACAAAAAGGCUCCCCUAGUUUAAGCGUGCGAGGGAUAAGACCUUACACCCUGGUUACAGGGCAGUCAUUUUGCAGGGCGUGUCAAAGUGACCUGUGGUUUAAUUUGCUUGGCAAAGGAGACCCAAACCUUCCUUACAGGGUGGUCCUUAAGCCAGGGGCGUUCGAAUGGGGCAGAGAG